CUGGGCACAAGUCACCAAAAUGAAAUUUUAAGAGUUAGGCGUAAACCUCAUCCCCACUGAGACCUCUUCAUGAAAACAGGAGUUGUGAAGGUUCCCUAGAUGAUUUCUUGAUAACAAUUCUCAGCAACUGUAGAGAUCUGGAGUCCAGCAUUGAAAAGUUUUACAAUACAGCCAAUUAUCUAAAUUUUAGUGUACUGAUAAAAAGUCUUUAAGCUUCCUUAUGGACAUAAAUGACAGAUGAGGAAAAGGCUACGGAAAAUGGAGUUUCUCUUCUGUUUGCUUCCGUUGGAUUUUUUAAAGUAAGGUUGAAGGUCUUCCUGAAAUGAAAUGCCAAUUGAUCCAGAGAAGUUCAAUAAUUUGACCAUGACUGGAGGCACAGAUCACGUCACUGUCCUGGUGCCGACAGCUUCCUGGAUGGAGCGCACCAUGUACUGUCAGGAGCUUGGAGAGAAGUGAACAGAAUUCUCUACAGCAACACACCAAAGCAGGCUGAACCUGAGAAGCGCUGAAUUUGGAGACUAAAUCAUGUGCGUUGAGAGCCAAAGAAGGAGACCACUUUGGCUAGGACACUGGAGGUGAUUCCUCGAAGACUGGGGGUCACCCUAGUCCUUGCGACUAAAAGUAGUCUUUGAACAGCAACACGGACCUCACGUGGGAGCUUGUGAAAAAUUCAGAAUCUCGGAUACCAGGCCAGACCCACAGAGUCAGAAUCGGUCAUUUUGACAAGACCGCCAGAUGGUUCCUGUGGGCAUUAAAUUUUGAGAACCACUGAUUUCACUCCUUUGGGAAUUGAUAGAGAUACAUGGGCAUAUUGCUCUUCACCCUGUCCACAGUGCCAACCGUCUCCCUGUUGACACUGUCCGCGCCCUGUGCUGAGCCCAGGGUAGGCAAGGCCUGAGCCAAGAGGCCCGAAGAAGGCCGGAGGAGCUGCACGCGUUUAUUCCCCUCCUGCGGACGCAGCAGCCAUCGCAGUCUGCUCUCCCGGCUGACGCAGCCGCGUAGCCUUCACGCUGUAUCCUCGCCUCUCGUGGCCAACCCGAGGGACACAGCCGUGACGCAGCAGCAAUUCCCGCCGCUUCUUGGGUGGCGCUCUGAUCUCCCUACAGCCCAAAGUAACUCAAGACAGUGCGCAGGGUUAUAAAUGAGCUCAGCUGUUAGUCAUGAUUUACAAAAUGUGGGCCCAGAGCGAGAGGCUAGGGGGCAGGAGAGCCUGACACGCCAUCUUGGCUAAUUGGCUCUUUCCCUGCAGGGGUGAAAGGAGGCCAGACUAUGAAAGGGUGCUUGAGGAGAGGCAGGUAGGCUUGGAGAAUUUACAGGGUACAUAGGAGGAUUUAUGUCUGCUACCUCACAGUAGAAAGAAAAACUCCAGGACCACUUACUAUGAGCCAGUGAUUGUGCUGAGUGACUGAUACAGUGCUAUCUCAUUUCAUGCUCUCAACAACCCGGUGAGGACAGCACAUCAUUUUUCAGAUGAGGAAGCUGAGACUUAGAGGGGGACAUGAAAUAGCUGCCAACCAGGAAGUAAGAAGGGUGACUCAGACACCCUUGAAGAGGAUAAAGCAAGUCAGCUUUCUCAAGAUUUCAAAGCAUCAUGAAAGUUUCUUUUGUCACAUUUUCCUUUUCUUCAGUCUUGACAAACUGACUUUCAUUCUCC
ensembl:lncRNA